GACGAACGCUGGCGGCGUGCUUAACACAUGCAAGUCGAACGGUAAGGCCCUUCGGGGUACACGAGUGGCGAACGGGUGAGUAACACGUGGGUGAUCUGCCCUGCACUUCGGGAUAAGCCUGGGAAACUGGGUCUAAUACCGGAUAGGACCACUGCCUGCAUGGGUGGUGGUGGAAAGCUUUUGCGGUGUGGGAUGGGGCCGCGGCCUAGCAGCUUGUUGGUGGGGUGAUGGCCUACCAAGGCGACGACGGGUAGCCGGCCUGAGGGGGUGACCGGCCACACUGGGACUGAGAUACGGCCCAGACUCCUACGGGAGGCAGCAGUGGGGAAUAUUGCACAAUGGGCGCAAGCCUGAUGCAGCGACGCCGCGUGAGGGAUGACGGCCUUCGGGUUGUAAACCUCUUUCAGCACCGACGAAGCGCAAGUGACGGUAGGUGCAGAAGAAGGACCGGCCAACUACGUGCCAGCAGCCGCCGUAA
rnacentral:rRNA from 1 species